CAGAAUGGCUCAGUGGGUACAGGAUGAGACUCUUAAUCUCAGGGUCAUUGGUUUGAGCCCCACACUGGGAAGGG